CACAAGUCAGUCACUUAAUCACAGCUUCACUUAAUCUUAUUCAAUUAAUUUUACUGUAUUAGCGAGCUGUGUAAUAACAUUAAAUAGGAUUAGUGUCACACCAUGGCAUUAGCGGGCUUUUGUUAUAAUGUUUUGAUAUUACCCAAAAUCAACAAAUAACGAUAAAAAAUACCUUGUUUAGUACAUUUCCAGCAAGAAUUGUGAAAGGAUGGUUUUAAGGCCCAUUUCAACUCAGGAAAAUUUUCCGCAGAAAGAAAAUUUUGUAAAAUGUGAUUUUGUAAAAAUUUUCUGGCGGAAAAAAUUGAAGUUGAAAAUUUUCAACUUUUAACAAUGAUAUUUUCGGAAAAUUUUCCGACCGUAGAAAUUUUUCUUGAGUGGAAAUGGGCCGGAUUGCAAAGAACUUUUCCAGAUCUAUUAAUGUCCUCGACCCAUAAAAUGGCCGCCAGCAGGACUUUGAGCCCGCAAUUCCAUGGUAUGAGGCUAACCUUCAAAUAAUCAUGUAUGUAUAACACAAUAAGAUUGAAUAAAUUCAAUUCAUCUAUAAUAUUCAGCUAUAAAUUCAAUACAAGACAACUUUAUAAUAUAACAAGAAGAAAAUCGAUAAUAAAGAUAAAGUCAAUGUUAACGGCCGCAUACCACUCCCUGCCGCAAUCCACCUGGGCAUACUGGAAUUGUGGUACAUUUCGUUUUCUUGAUUAUGGAGGACACCCACCAUAUUUCUUAUUUAUAUAUUUUGGACAGCUAUGGCAUUUCAUCCAGUAGGAAUACUCAUCUGACCUACAUGUAUUGCCACGAUUUUCUAUUUCAUGUGAACGUUUCAGGUAACUUCCCAAAUCCUCGUCAUAACCAGCUCUCUUCAGGAAGGAAUUUUCGUUGUUGUAUUCGUCUUCUCCGCGAAGGAUUUCGUUUCUUUCCGCAGCCUUGUAGCGUUUCGCCAUAUUCAUUUCUUCAUCACCAAGGUGGGGGCCAAAUCUUCCUUGAAUUUCAUCUCUUUUUGCCAUAUUCAUUUCUUCGUCGCCAAGAAUCUUGGUUCGUUUCGCUCUCAACAGCCGACUUGCCCAAUUCGUAUUUUCGCUGUCACCAUAAGGCGGGCCAAAUCUUCCUUGUGGGAUGGAUUGAAUUUGUUGACAAUAUAGCGAGAAAAACAGCACGACAGUCAACAUUCCGACCAUUUUUAAUUAUACGACUUACUAUACUUGAACGUGGUACUAUAACUUAUUC